rnacentral:rRNA from 1 species
CAACGCCGCGUGGAGGAUGAAGGUCUUCGGAUUGUAAACUCCUGUCAGUGGGAAAAGGGGAACGUGCUCAUACCACGUUUCAUUGAUUGUACCCGCAGAGGAAGCCCCGGCUAACUCUGUGCCAGCAGCCGCGGUAAUACAGAGGGGGCAAGCGGUUAUUCGGAAUUAUUGGGCGUAAAGGGCGCGUAGGCGGCCCUUCAAGUGGUAGGUGAAAUCCCUCGGCUUAACCGAGGAGCUGCCCGCCAAACUGAAGAGCUUGAGUCCGGGAGAGGUGAGUGGAAUUCCCAGUGUAGCGGUGAAAUGCGUAGAUAUUGGGAGGAACACCAGUGGCGAAGGCGGCUCACUGGACCGGAACUGACGCUGAGGCGCGAAAGCGUGGGGAGCAAACGGGAUUAGAUACCCCGGUAGUCCACGCUGUAAACGAUGAGUGCUUGGUGUAGCGGGUAUCGACCCCUGCUGUGCCGAAGCUAACGCAUUAAGCACUCCGCCUGGGGAGUACGGUCGCAAGGCUG